ACAAAUUAAACCAAACAUAUAUGCGAACACUUAUUACUGUUAGUUCGAAAAACAAAACAAGUUGGCAACACGGAUAUCGAGGUUGAGAUUACAGGUUUUAGCAGGUAAGCAAGCAAGCUGAUGGUCGAUCCAUGCACGUGUAUCAGAACUUGGAGAUGAAGUCGUAGAUGUGCUGGCUGACCUUGUCGGCCUUCUCCUGCUGGACGAAGUGGCCGGCGCCGGGGAUGACGACGACGCUCUCGAGUCCCGGGACGUCAGCCUCGAACCCGCCCUUGUGGAUGUAGUCCUGGAUGCCCGGGUGCUGGUAGGUGAGGUCGCCGUCGCCGACGAUGAACCUGGUUGGCACCCGCACCUUGGCGUCCGCCCACGGCGCCGCCAGCUCCCAGUUGCGGUCCAUGUUGCGGUAGUAGUUGAUGGGCCCCGUGAAGCCCGUCCGCUCGAACUCCGACGCGAAGUGGCCCACGUCCUCCUCCGUCAGCCACGGCGGCAGCGCCUCCUCCUCGGCGGCGUCCUCCGGCGCCGGAUUCUCGCCGCCGGCCGCCGAGAAGGUGAAGCGGUUGCAGAGGAUCCGCUUCAUUAGGUACCUGGCGUUGGCCGGCGAGAACUCCUUCUCUGCGACGCCAGGCUCCUGCAUGCAGUCACUUUAGUAGUUAUAAUAAGCAGUAAAGAUCUCGAUCGCUUUAUUACUUUUUUGAAGAAUCAGUAGGGGAUGCCCCUGCUGAGAAAUUUAUUAGGUAAGCGAAACGAAAACGUUAGGACAAGGUCUUUUUACAAACGUUAAGAAGAAAUGAAAAGGGAACACUACUCCUAUGCCUGCCACAGGCUCAGCCAAUUCGGGAUAGAGGUGUCAAAUUUCCUCUGUGCUCUCUGCAUGAUCAAUCGCAGCUCUUUGCUGAAUUCCUGCGUACAACGGUGCACCGAAGGAUCUUUGCUUGAAAACAACCACUCGUUUCGGCUUUUCCAGAUGCUCCAAGUCAUGAGAAUAAUAAUCUCCAUAGAGAAGGGGACGUUAAGCUGGUGGUUAAGGUUCGCAGCUGCCACCUCAGGGUUGGAGAUUCUGGGCGGAGUUAUGCCAAUUGAGCUCCAGCAGGCUUUCGCGAAAUUGCAUCUGAGAAACAGGUGAUAGAGAGUCUCCUCUCUUUGCCAUAGACAGUUUUCACAAGAAUAGGAAUCCAGUUCCAUGUUUCUCCUUCUCAGCAUAUCUCUGGUGUUUAGCCUAUUCUUGAGCCACAGCCAAAAGAAGACUCUAUGUUUAGGCUGACAUUUGCUUUUCCAUAAAAGUCUGUAGAUAGGGUGAAUCUGCGUCUGGCCCAUAAAAAAUCUGUAAGCUUUUUGAGAAGAGAAUUUGUCAGAUCCCCAUAUGUAUCGCCAGUGAUCAUGGGCGUCACUGAGGACAAUUUGCUCCCAAGGCCCCUUCAGCACCAGAAAUUGAUCAUACGCUUGUUCAGAGAUAGGCAAAUGAAAGAGACCAUCAAACUGCUCCUGCUCCUUGGCCUCUUUCACAGUCAGUUUUGUGUUUUUGGCAAAGGAGAAAAGCUCAGGAAAGUUCUGCCUCGGGAUGCUCUGACUCCACUGAUCAUCCUAGAACGAAAUUGAGCCUCCAUUGCCAAUAACAGGGAUAGCCAGCCCCUUGAAGUUGGGAAGAAGUUUGAUCAUGCUCUUCCACCAGAAGGAGCCAAUGUUUCUAUGACCAGGAAGACCCCAGGAUAAAUAAUAUUUAUUCCAUAUGAGAUGCACCCAAGGUAAGUCACUGUGAUUGAAGAAUUUAUGUAAGAAUUUGAUUAGAAGAGCCUCGUUCUGAGUUUCCAAGCGAAGAACUCCCAACCCACCAUUCACUUUCCUCUGCGUAACCGCAUUCCAAGCAAUAAGUGGUGGCUUCUUUGAAUUGAUGUCAUUCCCUCUCCACAGACAGUGCUUUCUAUACCUGUCAAUUUCCUUAAUGAUGGUUUUAGGAAUCUUGAGCGUGCACAUGAAGAACGUCGGUAAGGUUGAGAAGACUGAAUUUACCAAUUCCAGGCGCCCGGCCUGAGACAGGAAGUUUGAGGAGCAGGACAACCUUUUCUGAAUCCUUUGAAUAAGAGGCAAAUAGUGUUCCUUUCUCGGCCUCGCAAGACCCAGAGGCAAGCCAAGAUAGGUGAAAGGCAUCUCUCCAAUCUGACAAUUGAAGGUACGGGACAGGAUCGCCAUUUUUCCAGGGGGCACGUUAAUAGGGUACAUAUUUGAUUUAUUAUAGUUAACCUUCAGGCCAGUAGAAGAGGCAAAAGAGUUGAGGAUUGCCUUGAGGAAGAAAAGUUGUUUAGGGCAUGCCUCCAAAAUCAAGAGAGUGUCGUUUGCAUACUGAACAAUCGGGAAAUCCUGAUCACCAAUAUCCGGUAAAGGGAGCUUAAGAAGGUUCCGCAGCCUAGCUUUAUUUAUGAUGCUCUGAAGAAGGUCAGCUGCCAGGACAAACAACAGAGGCGAGAGGGGAUCACCCUGUCUAACACCUCGCUUGCAAUGAAAGGGCUUACCAGGAACACCAUUGAGUAACACCGAAGACGUGCCGGAUAGAAGAAUGCUCCGAAUCCAGCUGGUCCACCUAGGACCGAAACCUUUGUGAAUCAGAACCUGGAUAAUCAGUUCAUGUUCCACAGUGUCAAACGCUUUUUCAAAGUCCAGCUUGAGCACAAUGAUCUCUUUUUUAGGAGUGGCAUAAGUGAAUGUAUUCGAAGGCCCAUGUCAAGCAGUCUUGAAUAGACCUCCCUUUGAUGAAGUCAUUGUGGGGGAUAGAUAUCCCCCGGGUCCACUAAAAGAGUAAAAGACCUCACGAAAGGCCCAAGGGCCCAAUAAAUCGUGAGGUCAUUCUUUCGUGGGCCUGGGGAGAGACAACCAGCAAAGCAGAGCGACGUGAGGCCGGACUGGAGCAAACCCGGACGGCCCACAACGUCGGGUGAGUGACCGCAACAGAGAUCCGACUUUCCCGCGCUGGAGCCCCCAUGCAACGAAGCCGUGCAGGGAUAAGUCGGCAGGGUUACGUGGAGAUAAACUCAAGCAGUUCACUAUCUUUUAGCUACUCGUUGUUAUCAUAUCCACAUGUAUUGCCCCAUGGUCGAGUAUAUAAGGCCUAGGGGGCACCCCUUCAGAACGAUCGACACUAUUACUUAGCCACUCACAUCAACUCUCUGCAGAGAGUUCUCUUGUAACCACAUUCACAAAGAAUACUCACCAGGACGUAGGGUGUUACGCAUCUCUAAGCGGCCUGAACCUGUAAACCUUGUCCACUGUUCCUCGUGCAAUCGGCACGAACCAUUUUGCUACAGUUGUCGACACCGUCCUACUCCUAAAAACACCUUGAGGGGCAACCCCAGGUGUGCGGUCGGACCCAAAACACCGACAGCUGGCGCGCCAGGUAGGGGGUGUGUCGACGAUCCAAGCUAGCUCAAUGGCCGUCACCUUCUACAGCAAGAUCACUCUGCGUCCCGGAUCCGUAUUCUGCUUCGGAACAAUCUCAUCCGUAGCGGAUGAAGAGGGAACUCUACACCGCAUUGCGGAUCCGCCGGAAAAGAAGUCUCCUCCAACAAACUCCGAAAAUGUCGGAGAAGUGCAACCUCCGGCUUUCCGGAAAAAGAUCGUCUCCGGAAAGUCGGGGACUGAGGGCCCGUUGACCCGAAGAACUCCACUGUCUACUUCCCCGACAAAAGAAUGGACACAGAUCGCGAGGAAGAAGGAGACCAAGGGGAAGCAAGUCGUUCUUCCCGUUCCUCCGCCCUCAAAGGAGAACGGAAAGAAGGUCGCCGCGACGACAGUACCAUUCUACCCCGACGUCCUCUUCAUCGGGAGAGUGGAGUCACCUACCGUCUCCGACGACGAGCCGACCGCACCCGGAGAAGAACCGCCUCAACGAGAAUCCCGCCGACGGAGGAACCGGCGCAGGAACAUCCGACGACAUCACGCGGCCGGAGAACGGGAUCUGGAGCAGCCUGUCUCGUGAGACGAGGUAUCGGAGAUAGGAGAGACUCCGGAAGAACGCGUCUUCAGAGAAUGAAGGAACUCCCGACGACGCGAUCGCCGCCGGGCUCAGGAGCAAGCCGAGCAAGAUGCAAGGCAACGCCGGGAGAAUCCAUUCUUCGGGCGCAACCUAAAUCCCGACUUCGCCCGAGCUAUGAACACGCCAAGCGAAGUCGGAGGGGUACUAGCUCGGAUAGCUGAUGGACUCCCUCGGACUCCCGACGCUGAGGGCUACCGACGACUGUUCACCCAGGCGGCCAACCAUCUUCUACCGCUCGCUCACCCGCCGAACGAUCUACAACACGCCAUCAACAGUCGUCGAGACGCGCGAAGCUCCAUCAAUGCUUCGCGCGAACGUCGGCAUGAGAACGAGAUCCGUCGCCGGGAGGAGUACGAUAGGGAUCAUGGCAUCCCAGCUCAAAGCCAGGCCACCAGAACUGAGUCGGUAACGGCCUCAACUGGCGGCACCACCCGGGGGCGGUCGAGGAACCACAACCACUACUCCCCUCCCCGGGACAGACAUCAUCCCCGACGGCAGGAGGAUACGUGCGGAGUGUCUGCUCUUACCCCGCGCCUUAGGGCCAUCCAAUGGCCUCCCAACUUCAAGGUAUCCAAUGUCGACAAAUAUGAACCUAAGCAAGAUCCAGGGGGUUGGCUAGCCGUCUACACCACCGCUGCUCGAGCUGCCGGAGCGUCCGAAGACGUGAUGACCGCAUACUUACCCAUUGUCCUUGGGCAAGACGCGCUGCAAUGGCUGCGGCAUCUACCCCGACACUGCAUCGACGACUGGGGCGACUUCAGUCGACGCUUCACCGCCAACUUCCAGUCCCUCUCCGACAAGCCGGCGCAACCGUGGGACCUCAAAUCCAUCAAGCGCCGGGGGGACGAGACUCUUCAGUCGUACCUCAAAAGGUUUCAGACCAUGAGAAAUCGUAUCCCCGAGGUCACGGAGGCGGUCGUGAUCGAGGACUUCUACAGAGGAUCCAAUGACUCGGUUUUCGUCCGAGCCAUACUACAGAAGGCGCCGACUACCUCCGAGGAGCUGUUCCGGGAAGCCGACCUCUACAUCACCGCCGACGAGCGGGCCCAGGACCUCAUCGGAGGAGCAAAGCCCGCACCGGCAGCACCACGACGCGACCCGAACCAGCAACCCGACAAACGAUGGGAGAAGAGGCCUCACGAAGAAGUACACGCCGCCGACCACCUGCCUCUCGCGCCCGAGGAGGACCUCGUGGAGGCGAACACACGCUGGACGACAUCCUCGACGCCCAGUGUCCGUACCACAAGGACAUGCGCCACACUCUUCGUAACUGCCGGGACUUCAAGCAUUCCGUCGGACACGGCCGACCCUUCCAACCUCUACCUCCUCCUCCGCCGAGGGGAAGACCAGAUGAACCACGACAACCCCAUCAGCAGGAGGAGGGAGGAGGAGGAGGAGCUUUCCCACGCGUCGACAGGGAGGUCAACGUCAUUUUUGGCGGACAUGGGUUGCAGGAGAACAAAAGACAACAAAAGCUCAACGACCGCCAGAUACUGGUGGCGACCACCGGUCCUCCCGCCCCAUGUCGGUGGUCGGAACACCCGAUCACUUUCACUCGGGAGGAUCAAUGGCUCAACUUCGACCACCCGGGCAAAUACCCGCUCCUCGUCGAUCCGGUGAUCCGAGAGAGCCGGGUAAAGAAGGUGCUAGUGGACGGGGGGAGCAGCAUCAAUAUCACCUUCCCCCAGCCCCUCCAAGGCUUGGGAGUUCACCUCAAAGAGCUCCAUGAGUCGGACACUUCUUUCUUUGGCAUCGUGCCGACGGAAGGGGAAUACCCGCUGGGCCACAUCUACUUGCCAGUCACCUUCGGAACUCCGGAGAACUACAGAACUGAGAUCCUGAGGUUUGAAGUGGCGAACUUCGACUGUGGGUACAACGCCAUCAUCGGGAGGCCGGGGCUGGCCAAAUUCAUGGCUAUCCCUCAUUGCACGUACAUGAUACUGAAGAUGUCAGGACCGCAAGGAAUCAUAACUGUGCGCGCCGACUUCCAAGGCGCCGCAGAGUGUUUCCGAGUGGCCAUCCAAGCAGCCCUCACCACCAAGUCGUCGACAGUUUCUUCAACACAGGCGAACUCUAAGCCUGAGGAGGACCUUACAGUACCGGCAAACGAAGCUCAGGCCGCGACCUCUAUGCGGCCGACUGAAGAAACCAAGAGGAUCAACAUGGGGUUCGCUGAUGAACGCAAGACUGCCAUCAUCAGCUCCAACCUGGACGACAAAUAGGAAAGCGCGCUCGUCCAGUUUCUGCAAGAUAACCGAGAUGUAUUCGCAUGGCAACCUGCGGAUAUGCCGGGAGUCCCGAGAGAACUGGCCGAGCACAAACUGAAGGUCUAUCCCCAGGCAAGGCCGAUUCGGCAAAAGCUACGUCGUUUCACGCCCGACAAGAGAGAGGCCAUUCGCGCCGAGUUAGCUCGCUUGGUCGCGGCUGGAUUUAUUAGAGAGGUGCUACACCCCGAGUGGUUAGCCAACCCUGUUCUUGUACUCAAAAAGAAUAAAGUGGAUUGGUGCAUGUGCGUCGACUAUACUGAUCUCAACAAACACUGUCCGAAGGAUCCCUUCGGGCUCCUAAGGAUAGAUCAGGUGGUGGACUCCACCGCUGGAUGUUCUGUGCUGUCUCUCUUGGAUUGCUAUUCCGGAUACCACCAGAUUAGUUUGGCGAAGGAAGAUGAGGAAAAAACAACGUUCAUCACUCCGUUUGGUGCUUUCUGUUAUACCUCCAUGCCGUUCGGCCUCAAAAACGCUGGAGCGACUUAUCAGAGAGCCAUCCAAACGUGCUUAGCCGAUCACUGGGGCAAGCGUGUGGAGGCCUACGUAGAUGAUGUGGUAAUCAAAACGGAGAAUUCGGAAAACUUCAUCGAAGACUUACAGCUGGUUUUCAACAGUCUGAGACGGUAUAGAUGGAAGCUUAAUCCCGAAAAAUGUGUUUUCGGAGUGCCAGCAGGAAAGCUACUCGGGUUCAUCGUCAGCCACCGAGGAAUUGAGGCUAAUCCGGAUAAGAUUGAAGCUAUCAUGAAGAUGGAAGCGCCUCGAUCACAAAAGAAAGUUCAGCGACUUACUGGAUGCAUGGCAGCUCUGAGCAGAUUUAUAUCCAGGCUGGGGGAAAAAGGUUUGCCAUUUUACAAGCUACUCAAGAAGGUGGAUAAGUUUCAGUGAACUUCAGAAGCACAGGAAGCUCUAGAUGCGCUGAAGAAAUUUUUGACAACGCCACCAGUACUGAAGCCACCCCGACGGGCUACGUCAACUCAACCAGCUGAAGAUCUGCUACUGUAUAUCUCUUGCACGACUCACGUGGUAAGCACCGCGUUGGUAGUCGAGCGAGUAGAAGAAGGACAUGCCUACCCAGUGCAACAUCCUGUUUACUUCAUCAAUGAAGUUCUAGGCCCCUCAAAGAAAAAGUAUCCUCAAGUUUAGAAGCUAUUAUAUGCAGUACUUCUAACUGCCCGCAAGCUACGUCACUACUUUGACGACCACAAAGUCAUAGUAGUCACCGGUUUUCCAAUAGGGGAUAUUCUUCACAACAAGGAGGCCAUUGGCCGGUUAGCCAAAUGGGCUUGUGAAUUGGGAUCUCAUGACAUCGAGUUCCGACCUCGCACUGCCAUCAAAACUCAAGCACUGGUUGAUUUCGUAUCAGAGUGGACUGAACAGCAAGUACCAGAUAACCCAGAGACUGCAGAAGUAUGGCGAAUGUAUUUUGAUGGCUCGCUGAGGUUGCAGGGAGCAGGAGCAGGAAUUCUCUUCACCGCACCUGGAGGCGAGCACCUCAAAUAUGCCCUCCAGCUGCUAUUUCCGGCCUCCAAUAAUGCAGCCGAGUAUGAAGCUUUGAUCCAUGGAUUGAACAUCGCCAUAUCAUUGGGCAUCAAGAGAUUGAUGGUAUACGGAGACUCUCUGGUGGUCAUUAGCCAGAUAAACAAAGAGUGGGAUUGUUCAAGCGAUUCAAUGGGAAAAUACUGUACUGCCGUCCGAAAGUUGGAAGACAAAUUUGAGGGUCUGGAAUUUCAUCAUGUAGAAAGAGAUCGGAACACAGCAGCCGAUGUACUAUCCAAGCUAGGAUCCAGUCGAGCUCAGGUCCCACCCGGAGUCUUUGUGCAAGAAAUACUGCAGCCGAGUAUCUCAAUGGAUCGAACAGAAGAGUGCAACAUUAUAGAUCAACCCGAGUCAGACUCUGAUGACUGGAGAAGGCCAAUCAUCAAGUAUAUAAAGAAUGAAGAAGAACCAGAUGACAAGAACUCGGCCGAGCGCAUUGCCAGACAAUCGGCUCACUACACACUCAUUGGGGAGACAUUGUAUAGAAGGGGUGCGUCAGGUGUCCUCAUGAAGUGCAUCCUCCCGUCCACUGGGAAGCAACUUCUGGAGGAAGUCCAUGCUGGGCAAUGUGGAAUACAUGCAGCCUCCAGAACACUAGUCGGGAAGGUCUUCAGAUCAGGAUUCUAUUGGCCAACAACAAAGAAUGAUGCAGCCGAGUUAGUUCAGAGGUGCGAAGCUUGCCAAUACUUGUCAAAACAACAACAUCUGCCAGCACAGCAACUGCAGACCAUACCAGUAACUUGGCCUUUCGCAUGCUGGGGACUGGAUAUGAUUGGACCUUUCAAGAAAGCUCAAGGGGGAUACACUCAUGUAUUGGUAGCAAUCGACAAAUUCACUAAAUGGAUAGAAUUCAAGCCCAUUGCUUCUUUAACCUCUGCUAAGGCCGUGGAAUUCAUACAAGACAUAAUAUUCAGAUUCGGGAUACCAAACAGCAUCAUAACCGACUUAGGAUCCAACUUCACGAGUUCAGAGUUCUUUGACUUCUGCGAGCAAAAGAGCAUUCAGAUCAAGUAUGCGUCUGUAGCACAUCCAAGGGCCAACGGGCAGGUUGAGCGAGCCAACGGGAUGAUAUCGGAGGCGCUCAGGAAAAAGGUCUUUGACAAGAAUGAAAAGUUCGCAGGAAAGUGGAUAAGGGAAUUGCCCUAUGUCGUUUGGAGCCUAAGAACCCAACCCAGCCGAGCUUUGCAUGGAAACACUCCUUUCUUCAUGGUCUAUGGGUCAGAGGCAGUGCUACCCGCCGAUCUCAAGUUUCGGGCGCCAAGGUUGAUCUUCGAAAACAUAGCAGAAGCUGAAGCCACCAGGCUGGAGGACAUUGAUGUACUUGAAGAAGAACGGCUAAACGCGGUAAUCCAAUCAGCACGGUAUCAGCAGACUCUAAGGCGCUAUCACGACAAGGCCGUGCGACAACGAUCCUUCUCAAUAGGAGAUCUCGUCCUCCGCCGAAUUCUAAUGGGGGAGGGACGACACAAGUUAUCGCCCUUAUGGGAAGGACCUUUCAUGGUAGCAGGAGUCACUCGGCCCGGAUCGUAUCGUCUCACUCAGAUGGAUGGCACAGAAGUUGGGAACUCAUGGAACAUAGAACACCUCAGGAAGUUUUAUCCCUAGCUGUAUUUCAAAAACUGCUGGGAUGACGAUGUACUCUGUAAAAGUGGAAAUAUGUCGUCAAUAAAAAAGAGGUUUCAAGGAUACUCAGUUCAUUUACGAUUGACUUGCACGCUUACUUAACUCGGGGUGACCACUAUGCCCUACUAACAGAGCAAUCGACUUAAGUCGGCAGCGACUUAAGGCGGUGCAACAUGCUCACGCUUACUUAACUCGGGGUGACCACUAUGCCCUACUAACGGAGCAAUCGACUUAAGUCGGCAGCGACUUAAGGCGGUGCAACAUGCUCACGCUUACUUAACUCGGGGUGACCACUAUGCCCUACUAACGGAGCAAUCGACUUAAGUUGGCAGCAACUUAAGGCGGUGCAACAUGCUCACGCUUACUUAACUCGGGGUGACCACUAUGCCCUAUCAACGGAGCAAUCGACUUAAGUUGGCAGCAACUUAAGGCGGUGCAACAUGCUCACGCUUACUCAGCUCGGGGUGACCACUAUGCCCUACUAAUGGAGCAAUCGGCUAAAGUCAGUGGCGACUUAAGCCGGUGCAACAUGCUCAUGCCUAUGCAAUUCAGGGGAUGACUUCUAUAUCCCGCAAACAAAUUUCAUAAUCAUCGCGCGUCAUUUCACUACUGCAAAUCUACGAACUGAUGAAUUCUGAGACAAUAAGAGAGUAAUUAUAUCAUUCGAAUACUAAACUGAUGUCCUCUAACAAAUACUCAAUCAUGCUAACCGCGCGCUCAGAGCACGCAAAAUGUUUCUCUAUUUCGCAAUGUCUUUCUCAGGAGCGACCGACGAAGAAGGGUGACUCGAGGAAUCAGGGGCAGCAUUCACAUCAGCCCUUAUGUCUUCAGGAACAACCACGCCGGGUCUCCUCAUCAAGAUUCGUCCCGCCCGAAUAGCCUUGUCCAUGGCUCUAUCGCGCUGAGCUUUGAGAGUAACAGAAGUUUCUUCAGCAACUUUAGCAGCCAGUCGAGCAGUUUCUAACUCCUGGACAAUGGAUUUCUUGGAAGCUCGGAGUUCUUUGAUGGUAGCAUCCUUUGCUGAUAUCAAUUGCUUGAGGCGGGUCACUUCGUCCGCAGAUUCCUGCAGCUUACGACGUUGAUUGUCCAAUUCCUCCAUUGUAAAGCGGUGGCUCCUCUCCAAGAUGGUCAGCGAGUUGCUAGAAUCACGAUACAAUCUAUCAAGACUGUCACGAGAGGCAGCGAGAAUACGUUUUUCUUCCUGCGAGCAAAAAUCAACUCCUUCAAAAACCAAGCAAAUAAUAGGAACACAGCAAGGCAAAGCACAGUUUUGUAAAUUACCUUUUCAGAAUCGAGCUGAGCAUGAAGAGAAGAACUCAGUGCAUUGGCGUCAUCCAAAGCAGCAGAGACUUGACCCAGUUCAGUUUGGCUCUGAGAGUACUUCUCCUCGAAGUCAGCACACCGCUGGACCAAUUUAGCUUGAUCUCGGGAAUGUUUUUCCUCAAGAGUUGAAAUCCGCCGAGUCAUUCCUAGCAAGAGAUAAUCAAACAAAACGGGGUCAGAAGGUAAAGCAGUCCACAGUGAAAGCAAGGAGAAGCAAAAGGCACUAACCAGCGUUGGUUGCCUCCAAUUCAGAGACGCGAUGUUGAAGUGACAUUGGAUUCCAGCAUGGAAGAGACGAAGCUACUUCUGGGACGGAAGCACCCUGUAGCCUCAGCUGGCUAGCCAUCCCGUCCACCAAAGCCUGAUGAGGAAAACAGAUGAGUGUAAUGACAACAGUUCAUACAAUGUGAAAAUCAAGCUAAAAUACAUCACAGUACCUGGAGGUUGGAAAAGAACGAAGGGAUCCCCCAAAUCAGGAGAGAUCAGUUGAUAAUCAGGCGUGAGGCGACCACCCGAAGCAGCUUGCAACGAACCAGUAGGAAUCAGCUCGGUGCCUUCAACAGAGCCAAACACUCGAUCAGCGGGGAUGCUGCCCUCUAAAGCGACUCCCUGGUCCAUGGUUUGGGCUACCACCAUACAGCCAGAAUGUGGAGGAGAUCCCGCAUGAACAUCCAUGGAGACCCUGCUCAGGCACCCUCGAGGGCUGGGUCAUAGUUUGCACUGCCCACUUGAGCCGGAUCAUCCCCGUCAGCACCCUCGGGGGCUGGGCAAUGGCUUACACUCUUCACUUGAGCCAAGUCAUCCCCGGCGACAUCCUCGGGGGCUGGGCAUGUGUCAGCACCAUUCUUGAGGUCCAAGCUCUCUGCAAUAACCACCUCUAAGGUUGACGGGCCCUCAGUUACUUCCAUAGGACCAGGACGAUCCAAGUCAGUCUCCCGACCCUCGAGAUCGCGCUCUAAGGUCGACGAGGCACGGGAUGACCUCAACCCAGCAUCAGACACGUUAGCGCAGGCUUCCACUGCACCAUCAUCUACUGGCUCCGAUAACAAAUCCUCUGGGACCAUAUCCUCAAGAGUCUGGUCAAAGUUGGCCAGUGACAGCUCUUGCAGACCAAUGAGGGCAGACAAAGCAGGAGAGGGAACUCCACUACUUUCACCACUGGCAACGAACUGCCGACUGUUUUUCCGAGUCAAAGGAACUUCAUCUUCCUCCUCCUCCUCGUCCACGUUAGCAACACAUGCAGCACACCCAUUGGGAUCAACAACAGAUGGAGCACCCACAUUAGGAUCAGCAACAGAAGGGGCACACCCAUUGGGAUCAGCAGCAGAUUGGGUACACCCAUUGGGGUCAGCGUCAGUAAAUUCAGUCACCGGCACUUCUUCAGCAGCAGGAACCGAUGUACCAACGUCCCGAUCCAAACUGGAUACUCACCGGAGGCGUCUCUUUUUCUUUUUCUGCUCAUCAGCAGAAGGAUCAGGUUGAUUGGCUCGGCAAGGGCACCUCGGGCGAGUACUGGUAGGCUUCUGAGUAUCCAAAGUUGUAUCAGCCUCUGGGAGGGGCGCCACUACCAAUGCCCCAGCAGGAGCAGCGUCAGAAGAGUCCUCGGCCAGCAAAUCAAGCAUAGCGCUUAUCUCUGCAUCACUAGGGUUCAGGGGCACCUCAAAGUGGACUUGUCGUUCAUCAUCAGGAAUCUCCCCGAGCGAGGCAACCAAGACACUAACUUCUUCAGCAGAGGGUCGCACUCUAAGACCUAAGCUGCCAUCAGUGACAGGUGGAUUCGACACAAAAAAGGUGAAGGCUUUGGGAGGAGGCAGGUUCCAGGCCGAGUACGCCACUGGAGCACCAACAUUUGACACUUUACCCCUAAGGAUCAUCUCUAGUCGACUCACCAAGUCUGCAGAAGGAAUUCUUCUGUUAGUAACCCGAGUUGAGUCGGCUAGCCCUCGAUACAGAUAAGCUGGGUAGGCCCUGUCUUUCAAUGGCUGAAUAUUCUUGAAAACAAAAUCAGUAACCACAGCUUCAGCAGUCAGACCCCUCUCUUUCAGCAGUCCAAUUUCAGCUAGCAACACACCUGCCUCAGCUACCUCCUGAUCUGUGGGAGACUCGGUCCAGCUUGGGGUGCGAACGUCCGGCUGUCUUCCCGACCGGGAGGGGAGAGAAUUCCCAUAAUUCUCAACUAUGAACCACUCCAGGCGCCAUCCCUUAAUACUAUCCUUGAGAGGGAUCUCGAGAUAUUCAGUUUUCCUCCCGCGGCGCAUCUCCAAGCUGGCACCUCCGACCAACUGAUGUUGUCCCCCGGCCAUCCCAGGGCGACAAUGGUACAAGUAUUUCCACAGACCGAAAUGUGGCAGCACGCCAAGAAAGGCCUCGCAUAAAUGAACGAAAAUGGAGAUUUGCAGGAUAGAAUUGGGAUUCAGAUGGGUCAAGUUGAGGUGGUAGAAAUCAAGGAGGCCACGGAAAAAGGGAGAAAUAGGAAGGCCAAGACCGCGGAGAAGGAAAGGAGCAUAAACAACGGACUCAUGGGUAUCCUCAGUCGGGACAGUAACCCCAUGGCAAAUCCGCCAAAAGCAGAGUUCUCGCGGAGGAAGAACCCCGAUGGACACGAGAUGGAGGAGCUCGGGCUCAGAGAUGACGGACAUGUGGUUACCUGCGAAAGGCAGUUGGCUGUUGGGGUCGAUUGGAGGAAUCACCACAGCAGACGAACUCGAGGCUUUCCUUUUGGGCGCCAUCUCGAUUCUACCAGCGAGCAGAGUGGGAGGCGAAUUGCAGAGGGGAUUCGGAAGCGAGAAAGCAAGAACUAGGACACGGAAAGCAGAGGCGGCUAAAAGCGCAACACUUAUGGGAUAUUCUCGAGCCAGAUACCGUUUCAAAAAGUGCCCAGUCAGCACCCGGCGGUUAUUUCCAAAAACACCGGCGUGCCACGUGAUCACCCGACAGUUAUUUCUAGAACACCGGUGCGCCACCUCAUCACUCGGCUAUCAUCCUCAAAGUGGCCCAUGCAGCCUGCUAUCACUCGGCGUUACCUCUAAAACGCCGACAUCGUGUCAAGUCACUCGGCAUUACCUCUAAAAUGCUGACGUCACCCUCUAGUCACUCGGCGUUGCCUCUAAAACGCUGAUAUCGUGUUCAGCCGCUCGGCAUUACCUCUAAAAUGCUGACAUCGUCCUCAAGUCGCUCGGCGUUACCUCUAAAACGCCGACAUCGUGUCAAGUCACUCGGCAUUACCUCUAAAAUGCUGACGUCGCCCUCUAGUCACUCGGUGUUGCCUCUAAAACGCUGAUAUCGUAUUCAGUCGCUCGGCAGUUAUCUCUAAAACUCCGAUAUUGUGUUCAAUCACUCAGCAGUUACUCUAAAAAGCGCCGACACCAUCUACAAAGUUACUCGACGACUAUUCCUAAAAGCAUCAGUUUGAUGCCCGAGUUAUUCAUUUACUGUCUCAAAGGAAUCAGCUUCACAAACGAGCAAUACAAGUCAUAAAGGAGAAGCCAACAUCAUUCUUUCAUUAAAAGGGAAGAUAACGCACUUACAAAUCAACUCUUUACGAGCUGAUACUUCCCUACUACUACUACAUUACAUUACUACUACUACUGCUACACUACGCUAUACUAUUCUACAUUACUACUACAUUAUUCUAACUAUACUAUACUAAUAUCUAAAAAACCAGUGGCAUCUAGCCACUGGCCCUGUUGCUGCCGCCGCCGCUGCCACCCCUGGUGCUGCCCCUGCUGGUGCCGCCCCGGUUGCUGCCCCUGCUGCCGCCGCCAUCACCGUCCUUGCUGCCGCCGCCGCUGCCCCUGACGCUGCCGCCACCGUCACCGUCGCCAUCGUCGUCGUCAUCGCCGUCGUCGUCGUCGUCGUCGUCGUCCUCGUCCUCGCCGCCGCCGUCCGAGUCCUCCUCAUCCGAGGAGUACUCUGACUCAUCCGAGCCCUCGAGCCCGGAGCGCUCGACGGCUCGGAUGUACGUCCAGACUUCCGCCGUGAGCCCCUGGGAGUCGUCUAAGUCAUCAGACGACUCCCGCAGGGGGACGGGAGCCGGAGACCCCUCCGACUCAGAGGAGAACUCCUCCUCUGAGUACUCCGAGUCACCAAACUCCUCCGAUGGAGGAGUUGGCUCACGCUUGCGCUUGUUGUUCUUGCCCAUGGUGGAAGCAGAAGGGAGAGAAGAGAGGGAAGCAGCAGAGAACAGCGAAGAGAUGUGAAAAAGCCAGAGAGACAACAGUGUUAUUUAUAGAAGGAGAAAUCAACCGCUCACCUCCAACUACGGCCACUGAACAGUCGCAAAGCAUUCAAUAAACACUUCAACCCAUCUGAAGACACGUCAGACGGCUGACGCCGUUUCACGCAACACAACACCCAUUGGGACUCCAGUCAACAGCGCGGAAGAUAUGAUUACACCCACCGUCACAUCACAUUACUACUCAGAAGCAGCCGGCUAAAACACUCAGCAUACCAAGCCGUCCCUUGCCCACACCCAUUGGGGGGGACGCCCAGGAAUUAUCAGUAUAUUUUUCAAAACGGUCACAUCUGUGCAGGGCACGCAGUGAAUACCUCAAGACAAAAAUGAGAUAUCAGUAAGGAUCAGAGGAAAGCCAAAUAUAGCCAGUAAAGUACAAAGCAUGGCCGACAGAAGCGAUGUGAAGACUAGACAGAGAACGUCCAUCAAACGUCCAAUCAGUCGCAGAGCAAAUAAAUUGCACUACCUAGCAGGAUAUGGAUGGAUUGCGAACUCGGCUGCUAAAGACAAAAUAUAUGCUGACCUCUGAAGCAAAAUAUUGAUGACAUAAUGCUGACCUCCAAAGCAUAAUGCGAAUAGCUUCAUGACAAUUUCUAUAAACAGAAAGGAUAAUUUUCAGCAAAGAGACACAAAAGGAAGACCUUCGAAUGGAUUAUCCUCAAAAAUCCAUUUGAAGGUCGGGGGCUACACCCAUUGGGUGCACCUCCGGUGCACCCCAUGGAUUAUCAUUCCAAGCCAAAAUAGUGCCGACUUCUAAGGCAUGGGACAAGAUUAAAAGGCCAGCCCUCAACCAAAACGCAGGAGCACAAAUGGAAAUAAUUUCUGGGGAAGACCUUCGAGUAGAUUAUUUUCUAAAAUCUACUCGAAGCUCGGGGGCUACACCCAUUGGGUGCACCUCCGGUGCACCCAAUGAAGUUCAGAAUCCUACGAAUUGAAAUGCUGACCUCUAAGGCACAAGCACGAAACUAGGCCCUGAUCUACGAGUGAUCAAAGCAGGAGAAGACAACAGGAAGUCAUUUUCUUCAAAUCACCUACAAGCUGUACCUGGGAUCUUUGGGCUGAUUACCUCUAAUUAAUCCAAAGAUCGGGGGCUUGUGGGGGAUAGAUAUCCCCCGGGUCCACUAAAAGAGUAAAAGACCUCACGAAAGGCCCAAGGGCCCAAUAAAUCGUGAGGUCAUUCUUUCGUGGGCCUGGGGAGAGACAACCAGCAAAGCAGAGCGACGUGAGGCCGGACUGGAGCAAACCCGGACGACCCACAACGUCGGGCGAGUGACCGCAACAGAGAUCUGACUUUCCCGCGCUGGAGCCCCCAUGCAACGGAGCCGUGCAGGGAUAAGUCGGCAGGGUUACGUGGAGAUAAACUCAAGCAGUUCACUAUCUUUUAGCUACUCGUUGUUAUCAUAUCCACAUGUAUUGCCCCAUGGUCGAGUAUAUAAGGCCUAGGGGGCACCCCUUCAGAACGAUCGACACUAUUACUUAGCCACUCACAUCAACUCUCUGCAGAGAGUUCUCUUGUAACCACAUUCACAAAGAAUACUCACCAGGACGUAGGGUGUUACGCAUCUCUAAGCGGCCCGAACCUGUAAACCUUGUCCACUGUUCCUCGUGCAAUCGGCACGAACCAUUUUGCUACAGUUGUCGACACCGUCCUACUCCUAAAAACACCUUGAGGGGCAACCCCAGGUGUGCGGUCGGACCCAAAACACCGACAGUCAUACUGGUUCUUGUGAAUUAGCCGAGGCAUGAACGGUUGUAGACGAUUUGCCAAUAGCUUCGUUAAGAUUUUCAUACUAUUAUUUAGAAGUGAAAUUGGCCUGUAAUCCCCCACCUUCUGAGGAUUCUCCAUCUUCGGAAUCAAGACAAUGAAAGACCCAUUGAUACUUCUAAGGCAGACCUCACCAUGAUGGAAUUUAUCACAAAGAUCAUAGAAAUCCGGGGCAAUGAUAUGCCAGCACUUCUUGAUAAAAUUUGUGUUGAAGCCAUCGGGACCCGGAGAUUUAUCCGAAGGUAAAAGUUUUAUAAUGCUAUCAAUCUCCAAUUUAGUAAAUGGUGAUUCUAACUCGUGAAGUUGCACAUCACUGGUUAAAAGUUCUGAAAGGUCAAAACCAAUGCCUGAAAAGUCAGACGAUCCCAAUCUGCACUUGAAAGCGUCCCAAAGAAGACCAGAUUUAAGUUCAUGCUCAAGUAAAGUGAUCCCAUUGUCGUCAGUCAAUGUAGCAAUUGAAUUAUUCCUGUGUCUAAUGGUGGCAUGAGCAUGGAAGAAGCGAGAACAAAUGUCUCCAUCAGAAACCCACCUAAUAGCCGCACGCUGCUUCCAAUAGAUUUUCUGAAUGUUAAGCAAUUCUGCCACCUUUUGCUGCAGAAUAUCUCUGAAAUUCCAUUCCUUAAUAGAUAGAUCUCGAUGCUCUUCCAUGAUGUCAAUAAGCUCAAUAAGCAGCUUGAUGUUCUUCACCGUUUUAUCAAUUUUUGGCAACGAACUCUGCCAGUCUUUCAGAACUUUCCUUACAUACUUGAACUUGGCAGUCAGGUUCUUAGCUUUGUCGGGGAUGCUAGGAAGCCCAUUCCAUGUAGCUUGGAAAAGAUUCAUGAAACCGUCCAAUUCAAGCCAGAAGUUUUCAAACCAGAAUAGCUUAGGUUUAGGAAUUCUAGACUUAAAUGAAACCAGACAAGGAACAUGAUCGGAAAUGUCUCUCGGCAUAGUCUUAGCAUGGGAGUCCGGGUAAAUGAUCGACCAUUCUUGGGAGAUGAAAAACCAAUCCAGCCUCUGAAGAAGAGGUUCCCGCUGUCUGUUCGACCAUGUGAAAGUUAGCCCGUGCAGGGGAAUUUCAAUCAAGUCUAAGUUGCUAAUUGCUUCAUUGAACUUCAACAUAAGGUUAGUAUCACCCCCAAUCCUAUUCCUGUCCUGUGGCCGACGGAUUAAGUUGAAAUCACCAACGAGAAGCCAGAGUUUGUCAGAAGGCAUUGUGAAAUUAUGCAGCCAAUUAAGGAAAUCAAUUUUGCCAUGAUGGGUACAAGGAGCAUAAACAUUUGUAAUAAUCCAAGAACAAGCCGACAAAUUUGAAGUGAAUUCCACCGACUGGGCAUAAUUGUUUUGAAAGAUAACAUUCCCGGAAAGCCUUGAGCUCUUCCAAAUGAUAACAGAUCCUCCCGAGUUCCCCGUCGCGGGUACAAAAGCAAAAGAGUCAAAAUGAGCAGGGCAAAAGUUUUUAAGGUAAGCCGAGUCAAAGAACUCCUUUUUUGUUUCUUGCAAACAAAUAACCUCACAAUCAGCAUCCCGAAUAGCACAACGAAUAGCAUUCCACUUCACGGUGGAGUUAAUCCCUCUAACGUUGUGGCUCAACACAGACCACUCCCGGAAGUUAACAGUAUUGGGAUUACUCAUUGAGUAAAUAAGAAGUUUUUGAGGCAGAGCAAUACCCAGACCAGAGGGUAAAGCCAGAUUCAGUCCACAAGCAAAAUAUUAACAGAACAUUAAAACAAGCACGCACAGGUGCUAACCAAGUAUCCAGAAGACCUGCAUGAGUCAAAAGUAAAACCAAUCCCACCCAAAAGUUUAUGGGGCCCACUCCAGAGCCCAGAUCUCCCCCCGUCCGCUUAUUGUUUGUCUUGCUUAUCUUCAUCGGAUGAAUCAUCAGUACUGUCAUCCUCCAGAUCCUUCCUGCCAACCCUCCACUGACCAACAGGUCCCACAGCUGAUUUCUUUUGCUUUAGUCUCUGCUCAGAAAGGUCAUCCUCAGACAGGUUACAAAACCUGGAGCCCAGAUUCCGCAGCACCUUGGAGGAUAGCGGGAGGGGCCAUCGAAGUUAUGUUGGCACAUGAGGCAGUUCCUUUUUGGGCAGGCCCCUUGCCUGAACCCAGCACGUGAUUCUUUCAAACGUUUGCUUCUUCUAAGCUCCGACUCCACAAUGAUUGGUGACGGCCCACCACAACCGCCAGAAACCUUGGAGAUCCCAGAAAUGACAUCCUCCAUGGAGGAAUCAUUCGGACAUUCCUUAGGGACCACAAAAGGGAUGGAUUUCAUUCCCUGCUCCUGCAAAGUUGAGGGAAUAUCUGACAGCAGAAAGGUCUUGGACCAAUUGAAAGUGUCAGGCUGAAGCAGAUUCGAAAGGAAAAAGGGUGCCCACUUCUUAGGGAUGUCCACCGAGUGGUCAGCCGACCCAGCAGGAUCAAAAUAUUUGGCCCAGAGUCUAGAGAACUGGGCAGCUUUUUUUCUUUCCUCAAACAUCUGGAAAACGGGGUCAGGCAGCCAUUCCUGAGAGAACAUGAAGUUCAUCUCCAAAUUCUGAGGGUGAUUAUUGUUAGGCUCACCAACAUGGGCCUGGAGAGGCAAGUCCUCCAAAUCAAUGACAUGGUCCACCUGAUGCACCGGUCCAUCAACCUCUUGAGGCCCAACGAGAGGGGCAUCCCCAGGCAACAUAUGUCCAUUUUCCACAAAAUGCCCAUUCGGAAGAGGUGCAAGCUGACCAGCACCAAUGGAGCUAUCAGAUGAUAAGCCAGAGUGCUGGUUACUGAGUUGUAUCUCAUCCUGCUGAACGUGUUGCUCUUCUGGCACUAUGGGCAGCGGAGCCUACAGAUUGGGCUGGUCAUUCACAAUCCACUGGUCCCAAUCUCCCUGGCCAAAGUCCUCCUGCUGAGCCGGCAGCUCGCCACCCGCAGGCUCCGGAGGGAAAUUUAGGUCAAACCCUGCCGGGGGCACGGGCUGGCCCAGCCCGAAGAAGACCAGGGGGAGCUGGUGGCCAUCCUCGGGAGCCGGGGGGAUGGGGUCCUCAUCCUGAGCUUGGCCGCCAAACAUGAGUUGCUGAAUAAUUUCACAUUGAACAGUCCAAGAGUCACCAGCAAAUCCCUCAGCCUCCGAGAAAACAAUAAAUUGGGGGUCCUCAUCAAGUGAAGUGACACGAACACGAAGCAAGGUUCUAGAGAUAUUACUCCGAUCCUCCUCCCAGAGAAUCAGCCUUCCAAACGAUCCAAUGGCAGCCUGCAGGUAUUCUGAAGAACGAUAAUCCAAAGGAAACCCCAGAAGCAUUAGCCAGCAUUCAUGGUUGAAAAGAAGAGCCCGGUGGUUCCAAGCAUCAUUGUGACGGACCGCGGUGAAAGUAGCAUCCAGAUAUUGCUGGGGGCCCAGCAAAACCAAAUUAUCCCGAUCCAGAACACUACAAAACUACACUAUCACCUGCCCCAAGUGCGAGCGCUGAAUGGCACGAACACUGAACCGACGAUGCUCAACAAGAUACUCCCUGACCACAUCUCUGACCGCAGGGAACAAAACCUCGUGCUCAGGUAAAGGAUGAAUAUUGAUAAUCGCCCAGUCCUCAUGCAUUGGCGGCAAACGCUGCGAGACUGACCUGACCAUGAUCCCACGGUGCUGGACCACCGCGGCGCUGAAGCCUGGUGGUAGGAACGGCUCCGGGUCCACUCGCCGGUACGCCAUUGCCAGAUUCUCAGAAGGUCGCCGGAGAGCCAAGAGCAAAGGAGCGGUUUGGGGUUUUGGUGAAGUGACGCCCAGCGAGAGCUCCAAGGACGUUUCGGGCGCCUGUUCGUAUAUUUUUAAUAAGACCGCCCUGGCGAAUUCACCGAAGCAGGCAAAGGCAGGAGGAGUCCCACCCGUCAGGGAUCCGGGUGAAGGGCGGAACCAGGACCCGAAGUCCAAGAGGCGAGACGACCCCUCCAAAAGGCAAUUACUUUCGAAGGAAGGGAACGAGGAGAGGGGGAAACCAAAUUCCAAUUUCUUACGAUUGCAGAACAAUUCCAAAUGCCCCCUGGCAUUACAAAAAUGGCAGAGAAACGCUGAGGAAACCGAGCCAGACAAAUCCGUCCUUCCAAGAUAGGGGUGGGCCGAAGGGCCCAGCCCAGGCCUGAAAGGCCCAUUACGAAGAAUGGACCACCAACGAAGCCUACGGGUCCUGGGGAACCUAGCAGCAGAAUUUGAAAUUGAAGAGGAGCAAUCAUCACGGCCCUGACGCCCGCGUCCAAUCACGCAUCCGUUAAGCCCAGGAAGACCCACAGAAGGAAAAGGCCUGCAAUGGAGAGCAUGCGACGAGGCUCCCGAAACCUCGAGCCCCGCGCACCUGAGGAGGAUCCCAAUCUAUUGAAGACAGAAAUCCUCGGCGCAUUCAAAAUUCCAGCAAAGCGGGAAGAAGGAUUAUGACGACGAAUUGGGACAGCGUUUGCACCGGACAACGGCGGACGCCUAACCAUAUCAGCGAACGAGAUUUUUUUCCUGCCCUUAACAAACCACCAGUUGGCAUUCUCCUCUUGAAGGAAUAAUCUGAGUUCAUAAUUCCAAUUGGGUCCACCAGAGUUCCACAAGUUGAAGAAGGCUUUGAAUUCCGGACGGACAAUGCAUCUAGAGUUGUAAAUAUGGAACCCAACAUCCUUGGAGGAAACCGUGAAUCGAAAAACUCGGUCAGCAAGCGAGAGGACCUUGAAUCCCCUGGCAAAACCACCAAAAGCAGCUUGAAGAAGAUGACCAACCGAAACCGAGUCGAGCUUGAAGAUGCAUCUUCCAAAUGAGACAACUAGCCAAAAGGCCGACGGUGAAUUCGGACUUCCAGAGCAAACAGGAACAGAAAACCGGCGCCUAACAUCCGCCUCAAAUAACGAGCCCGGCCGGAAGUCCAAACGAGAGAGAUCCAUCAUCCAACACGAAGAGGACCAAGCGGGAAGGGGGAGAGCGAAGAAGACCAAGAAGAGGGGAGAGGAAAGACCCAGCGAGCACCUUCAGAGCUCCCACCCCGCGUCCAAAGACGCCGGCCAGGGGGCAGCCUGGUGGUGCGCGGCAUCCCCGCCGGAGGAAGCCAUUCCGCCUCGCGCUGGAGGGCGUGUAAUCUCUUUUCUGAAGGAAAAAAAGCUCGCCGGAUCGCUUUAUUACUUAUAAUUAUAUAUAUGCAUUUCCAAAAUCCAAACAAAAAGUUACCAAAGAUCUUAGAUAUAUAUGUAGAGAUGCAUGACAAGUAAGCACUGCACAGACCUGGAAGCGACAGAUGUAGUAGGUGGGUCCGCAGGUGCGGUGGAAGUAGUCGGUGGGCGUGACGGCGGCGGCGCCGGCGCGGAUGAAGAUGUGCCGCAUGAAGGCGACGCUGGUGUUGACGAGAGCCGCCACCCGGUCCGGCCGGAACAGGCACAGGUACCACGCGAUGUGGGGAGAAUCUGGCUGUGAGGAGAAUCUGAGUAUCAUUACGAUUACGUGUGGAGGAAGAUAAAGUUGUUCAUAGGGCUCAGGAUCUAGAAAGUGACGGAUUCCUACUAUUACAACGACUUAACCGAUUAUGUGUUAAUGUUGAUUUUGGAUGGUUUUUGCCGCAACGGAUUUUAUAGAAGCUGGCUGAAAAGCUGAGCGUUUGGCGGUCCGCAGCAGCUUUUGGUGGCUAGAAACUGCCAGAAGCUGAAACAAACAGGGCCGUUGGCGCCCCAGUCGUGACCCACCACGAACACCUAUCCUCGCAGAAGCAAUGAGUGCAGCCGGCCUUGAGAUUAAUCGAUGCAGUACUCUAGUCUGUAGUAUAUAUACGAUACUGCCAGGACUAUUUGGUAGAGAGAGUAGAGUUGAGUUCAGUACUUGAAGGUGUGUUUCUGCGAGCUCUUUCGGCCAAUGGGGAAAAAGACACAACUAAUGAUGCCAGUUAGAAGAAAAAAGACACAACUAAGCUUCUAACGAGUAAUAUUUACAUUUAUUGCUCUUAAUUAAUAUAUAUUUUAGAAUUAUUGUAAUGAGAUUUAUUUGGUAUCACCGGGCCAACUUUGGCCACUGCCAGUAUAGGUGUACAUUUGGGCUGAGCCUGAUGGGCCGGCCCGAAGCACGAAAAAAAAGCACGGCCAGGCACGGCACGGCCCGAAAUAAUUUAGUGUCGGGCCGGGUUUGGGCCGAGGUCACGGCCCAUUGGACGGGCACGAGCACGGCCCGUAUAAGGUAGACACGAAAUGGCCCAUAUAGAGGCACAAAAAGGUCUAUAUAUUUAUUAAAACCACACUUCAUUCCACACUUUCGUAUACUUGAUAAAGAACACAAAGAUUGAGAUAAUGCUAGUUAGAUAUUUUUUGUAGCUUUGAAUUAGAGUGUGUGAUGUAAUUUUACUUUUGUUAUGAACAUUAGACAAUAAACUAAACUUACGAACUUUGUAUAGAGCUGAUGAUACUCUUUUUUCUUCUAACAAAAUGAUUUAUAAACGAGGUAGUCAUUGCAUAGCUAUGGUAACUUUAAUACAAAUAUUAAGUUUGAUUUUGUUCAAAUUUAUUUGUCUUAUCUUUUAUUUGUUUUUUUAAUUUAGGGCUCUAAUGUGAAUUUUGAGCAAAAAACUGAAUUUCGGGCCCUAAUGUGAAUUUUGGGCCAAAAAUUGAAUUUCGGACUUUUAUAAUUUCGGGCCGCCCGAAAUAAGCCCGGCACGUUUAAGCAAUUACGGGCCGGGCCGUGGGCCGAUGGCUAGGCCCAUGGGCCGGCCCGGCACGACCCAAAAUUCAAACGGGCCGGGCCGACCCGAAAUUCAAACAAUACGGCCCUUUUCGGACUUGGGCCGGGUCGGGCCGGGCGGCCCGAAUGUACACCUAUAACUGCCAGUAAAACAACCCUGUUAGGCCAGGCCCGUCUUUGAGUCUAUUUGGUUUAGUUUUUUUCUGACUAACUUUUCUAGAAUAUGACUAUAUAGCGAAUCUGAGUAUCGUUGGUAUUACGAGCGGAAGAAGAUGGAGGUAUCCAUAGUGUUCAGGAUCUAGAAAGUGACAGAUUCCUACUAUUGUAACUACUCGACCGAUUAUGUGUGUAUGAUGAUUUUGGAUGGUUUUUAACAAAUUGGUUUUAUAGAAGCUAGCUGAAAAACUUAGCGUUAGUGAAAGGGAAAUGUGCCCUUGGGCCAUUUCUAAGUAUUUUGGUGAUUGAGUGUCAACACAAGUGCUUAAAUGUGAAUCAAUGCCCAUGGAUGAACAAAGUGCAAAUCUAGAGCAAAGGUAUGUUUCUAAGUCUUAGUACAUUGGUUUUGUGUACUAAUAUACUUGUCUAAGUAUUAGAAACAGGAAGAAGAAGAAAAGAAGAGAGUUGGCUGUGUACAGCCAAGAGGCUGUUUCGGUCUGGGGCACCGGACUGUCCGGUGGUGCACCGGACAGUGUCCGGUGGUGCACCGGACAGUGUCCGGUGCGCCAGGCUGCCUCGGCCGAAGAGGCCGCUCUCGGGAAUUUGCUGACGGCGUACGGCUAAAAUUCACCGGACUGUCCGGUGUGCACCGGACUGUCCGGUGAGCCAACGGUCGGCCGGGCCAACGGUCGGCCGCGCGAUCUGCGCGGGACACGUGGCCAAGCCAACGGUCGGAAGGGGGCACCGGACUGUCCGGUGUGCACCGGACAUGUCCGGUGCGCCAACGGCUCCCAGAUCUCCAACGGUCGACUGCACUGUUUAAGGAAGGAAAUCGGGCACCGGACAGUGUCCGGUGUGCACCGGACUGUCCGGUGCGCCCGACGACAGAAGGCAAGGAUGGCCUUCUGGAUUUGUUCUCAACGGCUCCUAGCUGCCUUGGGGCUAUAAAAGGGACCCCUAGGCGCAUGGAGGAGUACACCAAGCAACCUUAGAGCAUUCUUGAUCAUCCACACUCAGUCCUUGCGCAUCCGUUUGUCAUUCUCAGUGAUUCGAGCUCCGUUCUAGUGAGAACUUUGAGAUAGUCUUUUGAGCUCGAUUCUUGGUCGUGUGUGUGCGCAUUUUGCUGUGGAUUUGUGUGUGUUGCUUCCCUCCCUUACUCCGUAUUUCUUUGUGAAUCUCAAGUGUAAGGGCGAGAGACUCCAAGUUGUGGAGAUUCCUCGCAAACGGGAUAUUGAAAGGAAAAGCAUAACACUGUGGUAUUCAAGUUGAUCAUUGGAUCACUUGAGAGGAGUUGAGUGCAACUCUCGUCCGUUGGGACGCCACAACGUGGAGUAGGCAAGUUUUGUACUUGGCCGAACCACGGGAUAAACCACUGUGUCUUCUCUGUGUUGAUCUUUUGUGGUAUUAUGUUUUGUUGAGACUCAUCUCUAGCCACUUGGCGAUUAUUGUGCUAACACUUAACAAGUUUUUGUGGCUAUAAGUUUAAGUUUCACAGGAUCACCUAUUCACCCCCCCCCUCUAGGUGCUCUCAAUUGGUAUCAGAGCCAUUCUCUUCAAGAAGGGACUAAUCGCCCGAAGAGAUGGAUCCUAAGGGAAAGGGGAUGGUGGUCGACAACAACGAGAAGGAGUCUAUCUUCAACGAGCCGAAGAAUGACAAGUCUACCGACUUGGGCUCAAGUCACAAGCGCAAAGAUGGGAAGAAGAAGAAGACAAGGCGCAUCAAGGAGAUCGUCUACUACGACAGCGACGAAUCCUCUUCUUCCCAAAAGGACGACGACAACGACUACAGGAAGACGGUCAAUUCGAACUUUUCAUUUGAUUAUUCUCGUAUUCCACAUAGUUCGAAUUCGCAUUUGCUUUCCAUUCCUCUUGGCAAACCUCCACACUUUGAUGGGGAGGACUACAGAUUUUGGAGUCACAAAAUGCAUAGUCAUUUAUUCUCUCUCCAUCCAAGCAUAUGGGAGAUUGUAGAGAAUGGAAUGAAAUUUGAUAGCUCGGAUAGCCCUAUGUUUAUUAAUGAACAAAUUCAUAAAAAUGCACAAGCUACUACUGUGUUGCUAGCCUCUUUGUGCAGGGACGAGUACAAUAAGGUGAGCGGCUUGGACAAUGCCAAGCAGAUAUGGGACACCCUCAAGAUUUCUCACGAGGGGAACGACAUCACCAUGCUCACUAAAAUGGAGUUGGUGGAGGGCGAGCUUGGAAGGUUUGCAAUGAUAAGGGGCGAGGAGCCAACCCAAACAUACAACCGGCUCAAGACCCUUAUCAACAAAAUAAGGAGUUAUGGAAGCACGCGAUGGACGGACCAUGACGUCGUCCGACUAUUACUAAGGUCCUUUACCAUUCUUGAUCCUCAUUUGGUGAAUAAUAUUCGUGAGAAUCCCAGGUACACCAAAAUGUCGCCCGAAGAAGUCCUAGGAAAAUUCGUCAGCGGGCGAAUGAUGAUUAAGGAAGCAAGGUACGUGGACGACGCCUUGAAUGGACCGAUCAACGAGCCGCAACCUCUUGCUCUCAAAGCAACAAGAAGCAAGGAGGCGCUACCCAGCAAGGUGGCACAAAUUGAGGCGGCCGGACUUAAUGAUGAAGAGAUGGCUCUCAUCAUCAAACGCUUCAAGACGGUGCUAAAAGGUCACAAGGGGCAGCCAAGCAAGACCAAGACAAAGGGGAAGCGGUCAUGCUUCAAGUGCGGUAAGAUUGGUCAUUUUAUCGCUAACUGCCCCGAUAACGAUAGUGACCAGGAACAGGGGAACAAGAGGGAAAAGAAGAAGAAUUACAAGAAGGCCAAGGGCGAGGCACAUAUCGGAAAGGAGUGGGAUUCGGAUUGCUCCUCCGACUCCGACAAUGAAGGACUCGCCGCCACCGCCUUCAACAAGUCAUCUCUCUUCCCCAACGAGCGUCACACUUGCCUCAUGGCAAGAGAGAAGAAAGUAAGUACUCGAAACUCUACUUAUGCUUCUUCAAGUGAGGAUGAGUCUAGUGAUGAUGAUGACAUAGACUAUUCAUACCUAUUUAAGGGCUUAGAUAGAACCAAGGUAGAUAAAAUAAAUGAAUUGAUUGAUGCCUUGAAUGAUAAAAAUAGGCUUUUAGAAAAGCAAGAGGAUUUGUUGUAUGAAGAACAUGACAAAUUUGUAGAAGCACAAAAAUCACUUGCAUUAGAGAUUAAGAGAAAUGAAAUGCUUUCUUGUGAGUUGUCUACAUGUCAUGAUUCAAUUGCUAGUUUGAAGAGCAAAAAUGAUGAUUUAAAUGCUAAACUAGAAAAAUCUAGUAAAUCAACAUCUUGUGUAGAACAUGUUGAGAUUUGCACUAGGUGUAAAGAUUUCGAUGUUGAUGCCUGUAGUGAUCAUUUAGUUUCAAUUUCCAAACUAACUGAGGAAUUGGCUAGUCUUAAUGCCCAACUUAAGACUAGCAAGAAUGAAUUUGAUAAACUAAAAUUUGCAAGGGAUGCCUACACGAUCGGUAGACACCCCUCAAUUAAGGAUGGACUUGGCUACAAAAGGGAAGCCAAGAACUUGACAAGCCAUAAGGCUCCCAUCUCCGCCAAGGAGAAAGGGAAGGCCCCUAUGGCUACUAGUGCUAAAAAGAAUCAUGCCUUUUUGUAUCAUGAUAGGAGACAAAUUAGAAAUGCUUAUAGGAGUUAUAAUGCUUACGAUGAUUUUUCUCAUGCUAUGUUUGCUUCUAGUUCUUCAUAUGUGCAUGAUAAAAAUGUUGGUAGAAGGAAUAUUGUUCAUAAUAUGCCUAGGAGAAAUGUUGUUAAUAUUCCUAGGAAAGUUAAUGAGCCUUCUACAAUAUAUCAUGCUUUGAAUGCUUCCUUUGCAAUUUGUAGAAAGGACAGAAAGGUGAUUGCUAGGAAGUUAGGGGCAAAAUGCAAGGGUGAUAAAACUUGCAUUUGGGUCCCUAAGACAAUUGUGACUAACCUUGUAGGACCCAACAAGAGUUGGGUACCUAAGUCCCAAGCCUAAAUUUGCCUUGCAGGUUUAUGCAUCCGGGGGUUCAAGCUGGAUUAUCGACAGCGGAUGCACAAACCAUAUGACGGGGGAGAAGAAGAUGUUCACCUCCUACGUCAAGAAUAAGGAUUCCCAAGAUUCAAUUAUAUUCGGUGAUGGGAAUCAAGGCAAGGUAAAAGGGCUAGGUAAAAUUGCAAUCUCCAAUGAGCAUUCUAUCUCUAAUGUGUUUUUAGUGGAGAGUCUUGGAUAUAAUUUGCUAUCUGUUAGUCAAUUAUGUCAUAUGGGAUAUAACUGUCUAUUUACAAAUGUAGAUGUGUCUGUCUUUAGAAGAAGUGAUGGUUCACUAGCUUUUAAGGGUGUAUUAGACGGCAAGCUCUACUUAGUUGAUUUUGCAAAAGAAGAGGCCGGUCUAGAUGCAUGCUUAAUUGCUAAGACUAGCAUGGGCUGGCUGUGGCAUCGCCGCUUAGCACAUGUGGGGAUGAAGAACCUUCACAAGCUUCUAAAGGGAGAACACGUGAUAGGGUUGACUAACGUACAAUUCGAAAAAAAUAGACCUUGUGCAGCUUGUCAAGCAGGUAAACAGGUGGGAGGAGCGCAUCACAGCAAGAAUGUGAUGACCACUUCAAGACCCUUGGAGCUGCUGCAUAUGGACCUCUUCGGACCCGUCGCCUAUCUGAGCAUAGGGGGAAGUAAGUAUGGUCUAGUUAUUGUUGAUGACUUUUCCCGCUUCACUUGGGUGUUCUUUUUGCAGGAUAAGUCUGAAACCCAAGGGACCCUCAAGCGCUUCCUAAGGAGAGCUCAAAAUGAGUUUGAGCUCAAGGUGAAGAAGAUAAGGAGCGACAACGGGUCCGAGUUCAAGAAUCUUCAAGUGGAAGAAUUCCUUGAGGAGGAAGGGAUCAAGCACGAGUUCUCCGCUCCCUACACACCACAGCAAAAUGGUGUAGUAGAGAGGAAGAACAGGACGCUAAUCGAUAUGGCGAGGACGAUGCUUGGAGAAUUCAAGACCCCCGAGUGUUUCUGGUCGGAAGCCGUGAACACGGCUUGCCACGCCAUCAACAGGGUCUACCUACAUCGCCUCCUCAAGAAGACUUCGUAUGAGCUACUAACCGGUAACAAACCCAAUGUAUCCUACUUUCGUGUUUUUGGAAGCAAAUGCUACAUUCUAGUGAAGAAAGGUAGAAAUUCUAAAUUUGCUCCAAAAGCUGUAGAAGGGUUUUUGUUAGGUUAUGACUCAAAUACAAAGGCGUAUAGAGUCUUCAACAAAUCAUCGGGUUUGGUUGAAGUCUCUAGCGACGUUGUAUUUGAUGAGACUAAUGGCUCUCCAAGAGAGCAAGUUGUUGAUUGUGAUGAUGUAGAUGAAGAAGAUGUUCCGACGGCCGCUAUACGAACCAUGGCGAUUGGAGAAGUACGGCCACAGGAACAAGAUGAACGUGAUCAACCUUCUUCCUCAACAACGGUGCAUCCCCCAACUCAAGACGAUGAACAGGUUCAUCAACAGGAGGCGUGUGAUCAAGGGGGAGCACAAGAUGAUCAUGUGAUGGAGGAAGAAGCGCAACCGGCACCUCCAACCCAAGUUCGAGCGAUGAUUCAAAGGGAUCAUCCCGUCGACCAAAUUCUGGGUGACAUUAGCAAGGGAGUAACUACUCGAUCUCGAUUAGUUAACUUUUGUGAGCAUUACUCCUUUGUCUCUUCUAUGGAGCCUUUCAGGGUAGAGGAGGCCCUGCUAGAUCCGGACUGGGUAUUGGCCAUGCAGGAAGAACUCAACAAUUUCAAGAGAAAUGAAGUUUGGACACUGGUGCCUUGUCCCAAGCAAAAUGUUGUGGGAACCAAGUGAGUGUUCCGCAACAAACAAGACGAGCACGGGGUGGUGACAAGGAACAAGGCUAGACUUGUGGCAAAAGGUUAUGCCCAAGUCGCAGGUUUGGACUUUGAGGAGACAUUUGCUCCUGUGGCUAUACUAGAAUCAAUUCGUAUCUUGCUAGCAUAUGCCGCUCACCAUUCUUUCAGGUUGUUCCAAAUGGAUGUGAAGAGCGCUUUCCUCAACGGGCCAAUCAAGGAGGAGGUGUAUGUGGAGCAACCCCAUGGCUUCGAGGAUGAACGGUACCCCGACCACGUGUGUAAGCUCUCUAAGGCGCUCUAUGGACUUAAGCAAGCCCCAAGAGCAUGGUAUGAAUGCCUUAGAGACUUUUUACUUGCUAAUGCUUUCAAGGUUGGGAAAGCCGAUCCAACUCUUUUUACUAAGACAUGUGAUGGUGAUUUGUUUGUGUGCCAAAUUUAUGUCGAUGACAUAAUAUUUGGUUCUACUAACCAAAAGUCUUGUGAAGAGUUUAGCAGGGUGAUGACGCAGAAAUUCGAAAUGUCGAUGAUGGGCGAGUUGAACUAUUUCCUUGGGUUCCAAGUGAAGCAACUCAAGGACGGCACCUUCAUCUCCCAAACGAAGUACACACAAGACUUGCUGAAGCGGUUUGGGAUGAAGGACGCCAAGCCCGCAAAGACUCCUAUGGGGACUGACGGACACACCGACCUCAACAAAGGAGGUAAGUCCGUUGAUCAAAAAGCAUACCGGUCCAUGAUAGGUUCCUUGCUUUACUUAUGUGCUAGUAGACCGGAUAUUAUGCUUAGUGUAUGCAUGUGUGCUAGAUUUCAAUCCGAUCCUAAGGAGUGUCACUUAGUGGCGGUGAAGCGAAUUCUGAGAUAUUUAGUUGCUACGCCUUGCUUCGGGCUCUGGUAUCCAAAGGGGUCUACCUUUGACUUGGUUGGAUACUCAGACUCCGACUAUGCUGGAUGUAAGGUCGAUAGGAAGAGUACAUCAGGGACGUGCCAAUUCUUAGGAAGGUCCCUGGUGUCGUGGAACUCUAAGAAACAAACCUCUGUUGCCCUAUCCACCGCUGAGGCCGAGUACGUUGCCGCAGGACAGUGUUGCGCGCAACUGCUUUGGAUGAGGCAAACCCUCCGGGACUUUGGCUACAAUCUAAGCAAAGUCCCACUCCUAUGUGAUAAUGAGAGUGCUAUCCGCAUGGCGGAGAAUCCUGUUGAGCACAGCCGCACAAAGCACAUAGACAUCCGACAUCACUUCUUGAGAGACCACCAGCAAAAGGGAGAUAUCGAAGUAUUUCAUGUUAGCACCGAGAACCAGCUAGCCGAUAUCUUUACCAAGCCUCUAGAUGAGAAGACCUUUUGCAGGUUGCGUAGUGAGCUAAAUGUCUUAGAUUCGCGGAACUUGGAUUGAAUUGUAGCAUACUUGUAUUUAUGCUUUUGAAUCAUGUUCCUUUCUGCAUUUUGUUGCUUAUUGUGGUGCUCAAGUUGUACAAACACUCCCUGGACCUCACAAGUCCGUUGCAAAGUGAUGCACAUGUUUAGGGGGAGAUGUGUUACAACUUGACCCUUUGAGACUAACCAUGUGCUUGAGUUGAUGAUUUAGUCUCAAAGGAGGAUUGAAAGGGAAAAGGUGGACUUGGACCAUGAAAGACUUCCACUGCACUCCGAUGAGAGGGUAACUUAUUCCAAGUUCAUCUUUAAAUUCUCAUUGCCUAUUUGUUCUUAAUUGAAGAUUUUGGUGAGGCAAUGGGGUUAAAAGGGGCCAAGAUUGAUCCCGUUUUGGUGCUUGAUGCCAAAGGGGGAGAAAAUAACGGCCAAAGUGAAAAAUGGAUCAGCUACCACUUGAGAGAUUUUGAAAAUAGUAGAAGAGAGCGUUUUGUGUUGACAAAACUCUUUUAUUAUUUCUCUUGUCAAAAGUUGGCCUCUUGUGGGGAGAAGUGUUGAUUAUGGGAAAAAGGGGAAGUUUUUGAAAUCUUUGAUCAAUCUCUUUUGGAAUGACUCUCUUUAUGCUUCAACAUGUGCGUUUGACUUAGAGACAGAGAUUUGAGUUUGAUUUGCAAAAACAAACCAAGUGGUGGCAAAGGAUGAUCCAUAUAUGCCAAAAUUGAAUCAAAAUCAAUUUGAGUUUUAUUUGAAGUGAUUUUGCACUUGUUCUAGUUGCUUUAUGUUGUGUUGGCAUAAAUCACCAAAAAGGGGGAGAUUGAAAGGGAAAUGUGCCCUUGGGCCAUUUCUAAGUAUUUUGGUGAUUGAGUGUCAACACAAGUGCUUAAAUGUGAAUCAAUGCCCAUGGAUGAACAAAGUGCAAAUCUAGAGCAAAGGUAUGUUUCUAAGUCUUAGUACAUUGGUUUUGUGUACUAAUAUACUUGUCUAAGUAUUAGAAACAGGAAGAAGAAGAAAAGAAGAGAGUUGGCUGUGUACAGCCAAGAGGUUGUUUCGGUCUCGGGCACCGGACUGUCCGGUGGUGCACCGGACAGUGUCCGGUGGUGCACCGGACAGUGUCCGGUGUGCCAGGCUGCCUCGGCCGAAGAGGCCGCUCUCGGGAAUUUGCUGACGGCGUACGGCUAAAAUUCACCGGACUGUCCGGUGUGCACCGGACUGUCCGGUGAGCCAACGGUCGGCCGCGCGAUCUGCGCGGGACACGUGGCCAAGCCAACGGUCGGAAGGGGGCACCGGACUGUCCGGUGUGCACCGGACAUGUCCGGUGCGCCAACGGCUCCCAGAUCUCCAACGGUCGACUGCGCUGUUUAAGGAAGGAAAUCGGGCACCGGACAGUGUCCGGUGUGCACCGGACUGUCCGGUGCGCCCGACGACAGAAGGCAAGGAUGGCCUUCUGGAUUUGUUCUCAACGGCUCCUAGCUGCCUUGGGGCUAUAAAAGGGACCCCUAGGCGCAUGGAGGAGUACACCAAGCAACCUUAGAGCAUUCUUGAUCAUCCACACUCAAUCCUUGCGCAUCCGUUUGUCAUUCUCAGUGAUUUGAGCUCCGUUCUAGUGAGAACUUUGAGAUAGUCUUUUGAGCUCGAUUCUUGGUCGUGUGUGUGCGCAUUUUGCUGUGAAUUUGUGUGUGUUGCUUCCCUCCCUUACUCCGUAUUUCUUUGUGAAUCUCAAGUGUAAGGGCGAGAGACUCCAAGUUGUGGAGAUUCCUCGCAAACGGGAUAUUGAAAGGAAAAGCAUAACACUGUGGUAUUCAAGUUGAUCAUUGGAUCACUUGAGAGGAGUUGAGUGCAACUCUCGUCCGUUGGGACGCCACAACGUGGAGUAGGCAAGUUUUGUACUUGGCCGAACCACGGGAUAAACCACUGUGUCUUCUCUGUGUUGAUCUUUUGUGGUAUUAUGUUUUGUUGAGACUCAUCUCUAGCCACUUGGCGAUUAUUGUGCUAACACUUAACAAGUUUUUGUGGCUAUAAGUUUAAGUUUCACAGGAUCACCUAUUUACCCCCCCCCUCUAGGUGCUCUCAGUUAGGUAGUCCUCGACAGAUUUUGGUGGCUAGAAACUAUAAAAAAAGUUGUAACAAAUAGGCCUUUUGUGUGCGCAGCUGGUGUUUCAAGUGGUUUUUGAGUUCCUGUCUCUUUUUUUUAUCGGUUUGUUUCUAUGGUUUCCUAAUUAGCUGAGAAACUUCUCUAAGUUAUUACACCACUAAUUGACUUAGGUGGUUUGAGUUUGUGCUUCUUCUACCCUUCAGUGGUUUCAGAGGCUUUUGAUGCUGUGAUUGGUAUGUUGCUAGAUUAAGGGGACAUUAUCUUGCUUAAGGCAACACAACAUGCCUAAGCUUAGGCAGAAAAUGGUUAGGUACUUUGUGGUGUCUUAGACAGAAAACCAAACAACCCCUAAAUAUAAGUGCUCCGUUGUUUUUAUCGGUCGUCACAGAUAAUAUAUAUCUAGCCAUUGUUUACCCUGUAAGCUACCCAUUUGACAUUUCUAUUGUUUUAAGGGCUUAGAUGAAGUUUUAGAAAACAAGAUUAAAUUGCAUAGAUGAGAACUUUUGUAUUACCUUAUAUACGUUCACACUUUUUCCAUUAUAUCAUCAUCUGAUAUGAUCUUUCAUGUUUUGAUAAUAAUAGACAUAAUAAAAUUUAAGGAUCUGGUCGGAUUAGGAUCGAGCUUUAUUUUUAUUUAUUUUUAACUAAAAUUAAUGAAUAAUCCGAACAAAUUGUGAAGAUGCAUUUGUAUUGUGAUCCAUUACCACCCCUACACUACCGUGUUACAAUUUUGCACUGAAAUUUUCAAAAUUUCCUUAAUUUCGGUGGGGUCCAAAAAUAUAUGUUUCUAAAAUUGGCAUUUUUAAUAUAAAUUAUAUAUUUUUUGUUUUAGAAAAUAUUAAAUCUAUUUGAUUUUAACAUAGAAUUUCGGAAAUUUCAUGUUUUUCACCCGGCGACGAUGUCGCCCUGCUCGGCGCGUCCUACUCACCUUGUUGUGGAUGCCAAGCGCGUCGAGGAGGGCGACGAUGUCGCCGACGACGUGGAAGGCUGAGUAGGACGCGACGUCGGGCGGCGCGGCGGUGCCGCCGUAGCCGCGGAGGUCCGGCGCCACGCAGCGGUAGCCCCGCGCGGCCAGGUGCGCCAUCUGGUGGCGCCACGAGUACCAGAGCUCCGGGAAGCCGUGCAGGAACACCACCGCGGGCGCGCCGUCGCCGUCGGGGCCGGACUCCGCCACGUGCAUCGAGAUGCCGUUCGCCUCCACCGUCCGGUGCCGGACCGCCGCCGCAUCCAUGCUCGCGCCGGCUGGUGCUAGGUGCUAGCUGGUCUCGCGCGCUCUCGGCUCACGUACGGCCGGCGGACGUCGUCGUCGUCGCUCUCGCUGCCCCGGCUCCCGUUUCUCGGCCGGCCGCUGCUACUUAUCGGCAGGCUCCCGCUGGUUUCUCUGGCAAGCGGUGCGGAUGGGGAAUAUAUAAUCCCAACGAGAGACACGCACAUGACGCAACGCGGUUGGAGGUGUUGAGUAUGGAGCGAGAGCAUAUAUUUAUCUUUUGCUGUUUAGAUACAUCAUUAAUCCUUUAGUUUUAAUUUUUAUGAAUUUAUAUUAUAUAAAAUUUACCGCAUAUCAUCCAUUAUUUUAUGUUCGAAACCAGCCGCUCCUUGGCUAGAUAGAUCGGCGCGCGCGGAUUGCAUUGCAUUAGAUUAGGCCGGUCGACCCGCCGCCGUACCCCAGCUUGCCGGCGGCCGGCCGGCCGCUGUAGCAGGCUCGCCAUUCUAUUCGUUCCUGGCGAGGCUAACGCGAAUCAGAACCAGAACGAGCUGCUUAUCGGAGAUGUAUCUGGCAGCUAUGCCCUACGAACCGUACGGGGUGGCGGCGGCGCCAGUCGUGUCCUUCCCCGUUGCCGGAGCGGCCAGGGCACAGGCAGUGGUCGUCGGGCCUCUUCGACUGCUUGGACGAGUCCCGCGUCUCUGUAAGCCUAGUUAGCACCCUCGAUGUUCGUCAGCUCGAUCUUGAACUUUUGCUAGGUCGUAUAGUAGGUAGCUGAGCUCACCGGCAGGCACAGGCUGCCUGACGCACUAGUGCCCGUGCGUCACGUUCGGGCGGAUCGCGGCGCGACGUCGUGCGCGACGGGCGGGGCGCUAUACGCGCUCAUCGCCUGCCUCUCGGCGUCGCGGUGCCAGUGGGUGUAUUCCUGCACGUACCGCGCCGUGAUGCGCUCGCAGUUGGGCCUCCCGGAGGCGCCAUGCGCCCGACUGCCUCGUCCACCUAAGCGCUCUGCCAGCAGUACAGGGAGCUCAAGGCUUGGGGCCUCGAGCCCUCAACCCCGCCAUCGGCCGGGACUUGAACGAUGCCAUGUACCCGCCGCCGGCGCAGGGGAUGCGACGGCACUGAUCGGUGGAUCCCUCCAUGUAUCGGGUCCAUUUCGUUUGUUUGUUGACGACAGAUGCAGACACAGUACAAGGUGUCCACCUACACCACACGCCAGGCUGGACCACCCUCCAUAUAUAUAGGGUGAGUAAAUUGGAAGUCAUAUGCUUUCAAAUAUUAUAGAAAGACCUGACCCUUUACCCCCGACCUGGCUGAAACAUGCAUACGCCAGGCUGUCAACUGUGUCACUGCCCGUGCACCAGGUCAACCUUCCCCACGAUCAUCAGGCAAACACCUGGUCCAAAAUCAACCUCCCGCAUGGGACGCAAACCAUAAAUUGUGGUUCUGUUUUUACACAAAUAGAGUAAAACUGUCAACAUAAAUAGUGUAAAUAGUUCAGAGAGAUAGCAUAAAAACCGCGCCACAUGCUCAUGCGCAGGUGCAUGCAUGCAGAUUCUAUUUUUAUGAUAGAUCCAAUAAUUAUGACAUGGCGUGAGAAUUUUAAUUAUAUGUAAUCAAAUUUUAGAUGACAUUUUCGUUUCCAUUGCAUGCGCGCAAAAAAUUACAUGACAGGAAUGUGCGAGAUGAAAGGAAAUUGAUUGACAUAUAUGGAAACAAUAAAAUCUUAUUUUAGAUUUGUAUUUUAUUCAUAAAUAUAUGAUCGCUCGAACAGUCAUGCAGCUAGUCUCGUUACAACCAGUUAUGCAAUAUGGAACGCUGCAUAAAAACUACCACGAGGUACACUAGUAGACGUAUCUCCAGAUUCGAGCGUAAAAACCUUAAGUUUUGAGCAUGAAACCCCUCAGUUAUGUGCGUAAAUAUCGAGCCAUGUGAGAGAGGUUGAUAACUCUAAUGCGUUGUAUGUACGAUCCUAUUUUAUGGUAGAUCCAAAAAAUAUGAGUCAAAUGCAUGUGGUUUCUUUUUUAUGCAAAUCCGAAAAUUAUGGAAGAUCGUGUGAGUUUACAUUGCAUGCGCAUAAAUUUUGGAUGUUAUUUUCAUUUCUACUACACGCAUGCAAAAAAAAUAGAAUGACAUGAUUCACGCAGAGCAUAAAUUCUUAUAUAAAGUUGCAUAAAUACAUACACUAUGUAGCGUAAUUGAUAAAAAAAUCGCAUACAUAAAAAUCAUACUUCAUCAUCGUAAAAAUUAUCACUGGAAUGCAUAAAUAUUGUAAGUAGCGGGUAUAAAACAUAAUCAUCGAUGACAUAAACAUGGAUCGGAUAGUUCGCCGCUGGAGAAUGAUCCCGAGACCGCUACAUCAAAGGAUGCCUCAGAGGCCAUCGGGUAGAAGGUGGUCGUCGAAGGAGGACGCCCUCCGAUGCGCCACACCCGAGGAGAUCGUUGUCUUUGGAUGACACCACAGACGGUCAACGCAACCAUCACCGCUCGCGCCUUGAAAGGUCAUCACCACCGCCGCAGAUCGCGCCUCGGGAGAUCGCGAUCGCCCCAACCGCUCGUGCCUCGGCAGACGCGGUCAUCGCUGCUCGCGCUUAUGGUCGUCACGGCCGCCACAACGCUCACGUCUUGGGCCGCCACUCGACGACAUCGUCUUGGGCCGACGUUGCCUGGGAAUGCCUCUCGCGUCUCACAAUGCCGCUCGCGUCUCGCGUCGCAGCCUGCAGGAAGUCGUCAUCGACGUCCGGUCGCCGCUCGCCUCCUCUAGCACCUCACGCAGUUGCAGCCGCUAUGAGGCCUCGAAACCUUAAUUCCUAGGGGUCUAGGGUGUUUUUAUAGACGCUCGUACGUGAUCUGGCUCAACCGAAAGGCACGUCGGGCCUAGGCUUCUGGUAGCUAUUGGACAUGGUAUAGUUUCCAACAUAGAUGCCAGUAUGCCACUGUUGAUCGUCCGACAACAGUACACGGUCACCGGUACAAGCAUUGUACAUUUAAAUUACGAAACGCAUGGUUUAUCCAUUUCACAUCGAACAUACCAUGUCCAAGUCACAAAUUAAACCAGACAUAUAUGCGAACACUUAUUACUCUUAGUUCGAAAAACAAAACAAGUUGGCAGCACGGAUAUCGAGGUUGAGAUUACAGGCUUUAGCAGGUAAGCAAGCAAGCUGAUGGUCGAUCCAUGCACAUGUAUCAGAACUUGGAGAUGAAGUCGUAGAUGUGCUGGCUGACCUCGUCGGCCUUCUCCUGCUGGACGAAGUG
rnacentral:lncRNA from 1 species